ACAGCACACUAAGCAUGCUACUUUAUGCAACCUAAAUAUGAUUUACAACAAAGACCAUUCAGUGGGCAACCCUGAGGACUUGCUAUAGGAAGGUGAAGAUGCACAGCCACUCACAUGUUCAACAGAAGAAUGUGUAACAGAGAAUGGGAAGAGCAAAAUUAUGCCUUACUGUAUGAAGUGAUGCAACCCUGCUAGACCAAAUGGAAGACACGAGAGGAGUACUGAGACUUUAUCAGUUUGUUUUUUAGGGGCUGCACUUUUUUUCCUUCGAAAAGGCACUGGGCUGACUAGGAAUGCUAUCUUGGAGAGGCCAGAUUCUGCCUCCUGUCUCCUUGGAUCUUCAGCAGCAGGGACUCGAUAGAAAAUCGCCGCUGUGAACAUAAACCAUUUUUCGGAGGCUCUAGUGUAAUGUUUGACAACAUUUCAUCACCUAGAUUUGGCAUUGAUUUUGACUUCUGAAUUAGUUUUUCAAAUUCCGAU